CCAACGUUUUCAGCAAAAAACAGUGUAUACAAUGAGUGUGUCUGUUAGUGAGUGUGUCUGUUAGUGAGUGUGUCUGUGUGUGUGUGUGUGUGUGUGUGUGUGUGUGUGUGUGUGUGUGUGUGUGUGUGUGUGUGUGUGUGUGUGUGUGUGGAUAUUCUAAAGGAAAAAAAUGGGUCGGUCAGAAAUGGGUUUCUCUAUAACAACGGGCCUCAUUCAUAAAAAACAAAAACAUUUGUAGGUGAAUUUUUUUGUAAGCAAUUCUACAAAGUCUAAUUAGUGUUUAUGACAAAAAUUAACAAAAGCAGAAAGAAACAAAUCUAUGAAUUAUAGCCAAUAAAAACAGGAGUUUAAAAUAAGCCUAAAGAAAUGUUGAUGUACAAAACUCAACGUAUUGGUGCAUUUGUUGUUCUGUUUGCCAUUUUAAACAUUUAGUUUUUUUCCAGGUUAUGUAAGUAAAUGAAGUUUUUUACUGAUGUAGACAUAAGUUUAAAAAAUUCCAUUUCUGCCUCUGAGAAAUGUUCUUUCCCCAUGUUCUUCCCUUUUUGUGCAGUUAGCUCCCAUUGUGUGUGUGUGUGUGUGUGUGUGUGUGUGUGUGUGUGUGUGUGUGUGUGUGUGUGUGUGUGUGUGUGUGUGUGUGUGUGUGUGUGUGUGUGACACUAAAUGCAAAUAAUUUGCAAAUUGAGUGUAAAUCUGGCAGAAAUAUUUAGUACACUUCGGCCCAACAAUGCAUUUAUACACAACUUUGCUGUGUAUAAAUUUGGUUCAGAAAUGUGAGAAUGAUGCAGUUUUUAUUUUUAGAGAGAAAAAUUUUUCCUUUAAAUUUGUCUCUUCACAAAUGAAAAUGUCUGCACUUUUUUUAAACAUUGCAGGAAGGAAGAAAUCUACAACAACCUGAAAUCCUAAGAAUAAGGAGAGUCGAAACGGACCAGAAACUUCAUCGUCUCCAGCUAAUUUCUUGUGUUAAAAUAAGGACCAGAUAUUACCAAAAAAUAAUGUAUUAAUGAAUUGUAAUUUAUCUAAGUGAUUUUUUAUAUUUAAAAAUUAGAUCUUUUUUUUAAUCUCAGAUUAAACCAAAGCCUUUUUAUAUGAAAUUCUGUAUUAUUUGAAAAUGUUUCUGUUAUAAUGUAUUGUAUUGGGAGACUUUUAUUUUGUUUUGUUUGUUUGUUUUUACCAUUUGUACGAUUAUAUUGUUUGUUAUUAGUGAACUUGCAGCUAUAUACAAGCAAAAUGGAGGUUUAUAAAAAAAAAACAAAAAAACUUACAUACAUUUAUAUACAUUAUAAACUUUCCAUAGUAAAGACUUGUGUGUUAAGAGUGUUCUAGUAUUCGGACUGGAUUGCCAAGACCACCAUUUUCAUUUUGAAUUGUGCAACAUUUACAUUAGAUUCAAGUGUUUCCUCAAAGACAAUGGGUUCUUUUCUGGAUAAUUAAGGUUUAUUGGUUGACCCAAUUAAGUCAAUAUCACCAAGAGCACUUAAAGACCGGACGCUCUAUUGAAACUGUAAUAGUCACUGGAACUGGAAACUAUUAACAUCAUCUUUCCUUUCUCACUUGUCAUGAUGACAGCUUCUGUAGAAGAUUGUAACUUGAGAGCCUUGCAAGAAGUCACUAUUUCACAGAAAGACAGACAAAUAAUUCAGUUACUUGGCAGAAAAAAAUAAUCGCAUGUACAUUUCUUAUUACAGUGAACACACAGGAUGACAGCAGAUCUCAGCUCUUUUAAUGUCAUUUCAUGUUCACAUAAAGUGUGAAACCGCCCUGAGGCCCAUCUGCAGUUCUUCAGCAGUAAUAGCAGCAGUUUCACACACACUUUUUUUUUUCCGAGCAACUGAUGGUGUGGACUAACCAUCUCUCUCUCUCUCUCUCUCUCUCUCUCUCUCUCUCUCUCUCUCUCUCUCUCUCUCUCUCUCUCUCUCUCUAAUUACUGAAAUAUGCUGAAUCAGCUCGUUUUCUUCCUUAGUUGUGAGUGUAUGUAAUGUAUUGCGAUAUCCCAGCAUCCCCAACUUUACUGUACAUAAGACUUUUGUGAUGUGGUUUGCUUGGAGCUAAACUUUCUCAUGUAACUCCAGUGUAAUUAAUGUGUGUUUGAGGUGUUUUUAGAUCACAUAACACUUCUCUGAGCCCAUUGUAACAGCAGUUAUUCUACUUUAGUUAAGUCUGCCACCAAAAUGAAAAGGGUUGUCUUUAUGACUGUUAACACAUAUUGAAACAAGGGUUUAUAACCACUAGUGUUCCUGGUUUGUCAGUUGUCACGAAGGGCUUCUGUGAGCGUCAUGUAGUGGUAUGAACCACUGAUACCCUUGUCUUCUCAUGAAACAAAGUACUCUAUUUAUUCAAGUAAAUAAGGAAGGAAACAAUUGAAUCUGCUUUCCAUUUCAGCGCAAACAACGUAACAGACGAGAGCUUUCUGGAAGAAAGGGUUUUAUACUGCGCCUAUACACUCAGAGCCAAACAGAACAAUUUUCUGUCUACAUUUCUGACUGAAGGGUGAUGCAGCCAUGCUGAUUAAAAAAAUGCACUUUUCACUAGCGCUAAUUCUCAUGUUUAUGACAGUUUCUUUCAGUGUUCUCUUCAGGAGGUGAAAUGCUGUUCAGGUGGGUUAAAGUCUGGUGAUUGUCUUUUGGGGAUUGUCACUUUACUUUAUCCUCCUGUUAAAGUAAUUUGUUGUGUUUUAAAUCAUUGUGUAAAUCAUUUGCACAACAAGGUUCCUCUCUAUUCAUUUCUCUGCAUUUCUCAGUAAUCUUCAGACAGAAUGCUUCUGUUGAUUUCUGAAGUCAUUCUGCUGCUACCGUCAUGAGUUAGAUCAUCAUUAAAGAUUAGUGAGAAUGUUCCAGAAGCAGCCAUGCAAGCCCGAGCCAUGACACCACCACCAUGUUUCACAGAUGAGCUUUGGAUCAAGAGCAGAUCCUUUCUUUCCUCACACUUUGGCCUUUCAUCUUAGCUUCAGAAAUUUUAUGUGUUUCUUUGUGAAAUCGGUCCUUCUGAUUCUUACUGAUGAUUGGUUUGCAUCUUGUGGCAUGGUCACAAUAUUUCUGCUCUUCUUAUUCUUCCAGUGUUGAAUUGUGACACCUUCAUCCCUGCCCUGUGGAGGUCAUUGGUGAUGUCACUGAUUGUUGUUUCUGGAUUUUUCUUCACAGCUCUCAGUAUUUGUCAUCAGUUGCCUUUGGUUUUUCUUAACUGACCUGUUCGAUCUGUAGUCGUUCGUCUUCAAGUGGUUUCUCUUCAGGACAUUCUUGUAUUGGCUACACCAAAUGUUUGUGCAAUAGCUUUGAUUUCCCCAAUUUUUUUUUCCCCAACUUCAAAAUGUCUCGCUUCUCUCCUAUAGACAGCUCUCUGGUUUCCAUUGUGGUUCAUCAACAAAUACGUCUUCACUAUUGAAACCCUGGGCUCAAUGCAUGAGUAGACAUUCAGAGCAAAUAAUUAUCAGGGAAGUUUGAGGUCCGGUGUGGGUGCAGGUUUUCAUUAUAACCAGACAGAAGGUCCACACCUCGACCUUGAUAGCCGAGAACAACUGAAUAAAUAUGUGGAUUAAAGUGCGACUCCUGCUUAACAGGAACGAAAACCUGCACCCGCACAUGCCCUUUGUGGAUAUAAUUGGACAACCCUCCAAUUCAACCAGUUGUUGUGUUCAAUCCAACAGGUCACAUCUGGGCAGUAAGAGAGCCUUGUCAGUUACAUGUUCAAAUAUAUUUCAUCAAUUGAAAAAUAGGUGUGUUCAAGCAAAAGGUCCAAUGUUCUAAGUUGUUUAAAACAUCUAGAUGUGAAAAUCAGGAAAUGAAAGCUAAAAUUCUGAUCCAUCAGCUCAUCUAUUAAACCCAAACCUAAAUGUCUUUUGUUUAUCACAAAAAUAACUGUAAGACUGUAUGUUACUUUCUGUUUCUGUGUAUAAUGUAAUGUACUUGAUUUCGGUUGAUAUCUGAUAGAUGUUAACAGCUAGUGUAUCCCAGCUGUCUUCUUAUUAAUCUCCCCUAUAAUCUGGUGUCACCCAGUAGAAGAUAAGCCUAGUUUAUUCCUCAUAUAAAAUCUUAUGUAGAUUUAUUUCUCUCGCCUCUGGGGUUUUAAAUUUACAUCCGGAUUUCUGUAAAGCUGCUUUGUGAUGGUGUCUGUUGUUAAAAUUGCACUAAAUUGUUGAGAUAAGUAAUUUUGGAUUAUUAAUAUUUGAUUAUACUGACAGCUUGAGCUGGGAGUGAGCCAAAUUGUUUUACAGGCAAAAGGUGAGCAGAUUCAAUAGUAAACUCACAUAUUCGAUGGAUUUGUCCUGUGUGUGUGUGUGUGUGUGUGUGUGUGUGUGUGUGUGUGUGUGUGUGUGUGUGUGUGUGUGUGUGUGUGUGUGUGUGUGUGUGUGU